CAAGGAUAGAGAGAGAAAGAAGGUCAAAUCAAACUUUAGCCCCUGCUAACAAUGUCAUUUUUAAAAUGUAAGCACAAAUGGAGGCACUCUGCAUUACAGGAGCGAGUGUCGUCAUCCCUCUGUCAGGUUUUGUAAGCAUCAUUUAUUGGAAAACACCCGUUUCAGUCUACUGGUAUUCUGGACUCUUGCAACCUUAGGUGAUGUUGGACUGUGUCCAGAGUUAGCGAUACACAAGCUGUGUUUUGAGUGCUACAUGCUAUGCUACAGCAGCACCAGGCCACAUUAGGUGUCAAGGAGGAUUUUCUGUGUAAAUACCAUAUACACAGCAAUGUAGAGGCACUAUUUAUUAUUAUUAUACACACAUUAUACUGUAUUUACAAUAUUACACUACACACAUACAUUUUGAAUUAUCAAAGCCCCCUCUGUCAAAAGGUCCUACACACUCUGACACAUGUUUUCAAUCAGGUCUCAGGGUGUUGCCCAAUGCAGCUAUGCUGGGGAUUACAUGACACACAAAACUCUGUGUACCAGAGAGACUGAUAACUGUCCCUGACAGGUGCAACAAAACCAACAGGAGAGAUGUCUGUCAAGCUCAGUCUGUACACACCCACACAGUCUUGAGAUCUAAUCAGUCAGUGUUAAGUCAAAACACCUGUGUGGGUGAAAAGUGGGCGUGUACAGGCUUUAUCACAUGUGUUCACAGCCUGACCCUCAGUCAGGUGGCUCUGUAUAGAGUUCAUAUGGAGACUGUCUUUAAACUUCUGUAUUCCAGGCAGAUUACCGCCAUGUAUACAGUCCGGUAUGUGGCAGUGUUUCUGUGAGAUAGCUUUCUACUGUUCAACACUGAAGUACCUCACAUGGGCACUUUUGCAAAUCACUGUCUCUCUUGGAUUAACUGCUGAGGCUGGAGUGAAACCACCCUGAACAUUUGAAGAUUCUGCACUUUGGUCAGCGUUUGAAAAAAAAUCUGAGACCUCUCACCUGGAAUCUCCUGCUGUUCCCUCUCCUCUUUACUGGAGAAACUCACCACGUUGAGCAGCAUGAUGAUGCAGAAGUUGAUGCAGACUGCCGUGCCCGUGGUCGCCACCUGAGAGUUGUUCCUGAUGAGAGCCCAGCCGAAGGCGGCGAAGGUGCUGACGGUGAUCACACGGUGCAGAAAUACCAAAUCUUAAAUGACAACAUGGAGUGACAGUUUUACCUCCUCUUCCUCCCAGUCAAUGAGGUCCCAGUCGUAUGCGAGGACAGCUCUGCGUCUUUUCCAGAACUCCAGGAAGACCGUUGCUGAAACA